UACGGAGGGUGCGAGCGUUAAUCGGAAUUACUGGGCGUAAAGCGCGCGUAGGCGGCCUGUUAAGCCGGUUGUGAAAGCCCCUGGCUCAACCUGGGAACGGCAUCCGGAAAUGUCCGGCUAGAGUGCAGGAGAGGAAGGUAGAAGUCCCGGUGUAGCGGUGAAAUGCGUAGAGAUCGGGAGGAAUACCAGUGGCGAAGGCGGACUUCUGGACUGACACUGACACUGAGGUGCGAAAGCGUGGGUAGCAAACAGG
rnacentral:misc_RNA from 1 species